rnacentral:rRNA from 1 species
AAAUUGAAGAGUUUGAUCAUGGCUCAGAUUGAACGCUGGCGGCAGGCCUAACACAUGCAAGUCGAGCGGCAGCGGGAAAGUAGCUUGCUACUUUUGCCGGCAAGCGGCGGACGGGUGAGUAAUGCCUGGGAAAUUGCCCAGUCGAGGGGGAUAACAGUUGGAAACGACUGCUAAUACCGCAUACGCCCUACGGGGGAAAGCAGGGGACCUUCGGGCCU